CCUCAGUUUAUAACCCAGCUUUUGACUGGUUAUUAUGACAAUAUAUUGAUUUCUGAGUAAGUAAAGAUGAUUUUCAAAGAGAAAGCCCAAGUGGUUUCCUGGCACAACAGAGCUACCAGUUAUCACCUCCUAGCGAGUGCCUCCCAGAGUACUGUGAGCACAUGUGAAAAGCAGACUGUAGCUUUAUUGGUCCUGGGCAAACAAGUCAAACAGCACUGCUUCAUCCUUGUUUUGAAAAGGAUUGUGCCACUUUAAGCAGCAGCAAGUGGGAGGUGUACAGGCACCGCUGUACAAACAAAUACCUGGGCACACCACUGCGCUCACCUCUGAGCCUCACACAGCUGAAGGGACGACGGUCUCACACUCCCUGUUCUGCCUUGCAGGCUCAGCACUACCUUCUCCAGCACACACUGUGGCAGCUGGACAGAGAAUGGACUCUCAGACAGAGCUACUCAAGAUCAUCUGUGAGACUUGCAACAUACCUUGAACUAAGCUUCAAAUUCUUGGCAUGGAGGAAAUGGUGGUGGAAACAAUCCUGGCACCAUGGGAAAUACUGCUGGUCAUUUGUGCUGCAGUGCUGAUCAUGAGCUUCCUUAUGGUCCUACCCCCUGCAGUCGUGGUGAUCUGGAGAAUGAAGCAUGUGCCUCAGAUCUCACUGCAUGGCUCGGUGUGAGCCAGCCACGCAUUCUUUGAAAAGCUGCUUCAGAACUAUGAAAUCUCUCAGGAUCACUGUUACUGCUCAUGGUCCAUCCCAAACUUGCUGUUUUCCUGUUCCACUGCUGUUAAGUCCCAGUAAAAAGAGAAUGUGUUGAAUUUUGUCUUCAUUUGCUGCAGCACUUUGCCUUUGAUUUUUUGGCUACACUGUAUGACUAUUGGUAAAAUAGAUAGUUCCUACAUUGUCUUUCAUUAUAAUGAACUGAAAACAAUACUGAAAAGUAAGCACUGUACAGUAUUGUAUUCCCUUAACUAGUACCAGUAAAGUCUGCCUCUCUAUAAUUACACUGCAAAUAUUACCAAAGCCUUUGAGAUGAUUGACAAGUUGUGGAUGUAUCAAAGUAAGCAGUAUAGUCUGAGGAGCUGCUGGUUUGGUCUGGUUGUACUAUGAAUCUUUCUGAUUUGAAACUGUUGGCAUAUUCCUUGUUGCUUUACUGCUAUAUGAAUUUUCUUCUCUUUGCUAAAUCCUGAGUGUCAGAAUGCAAAGCCCUUCCCACUCCAGGGCUGGAACAAGAGGCUUAGCCCAAUGCUCAGACAUGCCCAGCCAGACGCCAGCCUGUAGUUAAUACAAACAUACGGCAACUAUUUCCCUGAAUUACAUUAUGCAAAUUCAGUGUGGGAAAUAAUGUCAUUAAAUUUUCUUUAGUUUUUAACUGUGUAGUACAGGCUUAUUGGUUCAACUGCUCCUUCACACAUAUAAAUAAUAACUUGGACGGUGGGAAUAGAACAAAGCAACUUCUCUGUAAUUUUAUAACAAUAAUAAUUUUCAGCUUAAUAUCAAAUUCAUACAGUAUCAUAUUAAAGCUUUCCAGCCUAUUUCUUCCACAUUAAGUGAAGCUUCUUAGUAAGAUUCUUUAUGCAAAGAUUUAGCAGUUUCUAUUAGUUUACAAGAACAAUGGGCUUGAGUCCCUUACGAGGUCCAAUACUGUGUUUCUUUUCCUUUGUUAGUUGGUUUUGAAAGUUGCUAGAUUAGCUCAAUAAAACUCAGAGAAAAUUAUUUUUAGUACCA
ensembl:lncRNA